CAAACUCUUAAUUAUUUGAUUUUUACUUGAAAUGGGGUUUCUCCUGAAUCAAACCAGGACAACAAAAAAUAAUAUCCUUACUAUCUUUGUUAAUUCGAUUGUUUGAAACUAGGGAUUUUUCUCAAUUAGGGAAAAAGUAAUAGGUAAAUUUGUGUUUGGACACUAAAUGAAUGGUUUCCAAUUUGGGUUAACAUGUGUAGUUUGGUGUGCCAUUAGAUAUUAGGUGUUAGUGAUUUCAUUGAUAUAUAAUCUGAUUGCUAUUUUAUGUGAUAAAUUUAACUUUCACCGUAUUAAAUCCAAGUGUGAUACCCUGCAUAUUUUGUAGCUACCUUUGUCUCUGAUGAUGGGGUUUUACAGUAGAGUAAGGUUACAACUUAGAGGCAUAUAGUGCCAUCUGCAUUUCACACCUUAUUUGAGAGCAAACUGACUUAUAUGUGGUAGCUAGGCACAAUAUGCAUCAUAUGGUCCAACUCACUAGGGUGAUGUCUGUAUGGCACAACUCUGUUUUACAAGAUUAUGCUGAUAUAGAUAAUAAGUUAGAAAACAUUUAAUUCUCAGUAUCGACCAACAUGAUUUAUGUAUACUUCUUUAUCUGUGAUCAAGUAAAUUUUCCAUCUUUGAAUAAUGCUACAUUUCCGUCUUCACAACAAUGCUCUAUCAUAGCUAGGCUCCUUGCCACAUACCAUUAGGAAUUAGAACAAAUAAUUUUUCUGUUGGCAGGGAGGAUUUCGGUAUCUUUGUCUGAGAAGAUGAGUGCCACUACCAAAAUCUGCAAAAUGCCCUCAUCUCUGUUAUCUUCAAAUUUGCCUAGCCAUUAACGAAAGAUGUGGUAGAUUUUAUAUAAUCCAGGGUAGUUACCAGGUUCCAUGUCUCAAAAUUUCUCACAACUCAUCGACUCGACUCUUCCUCUCUGGUCACCACUCUUCAGUUUCUCACCACCCCCACCACUACCAUCACCACUAGCACCACCGAUGAUUCUCCUUUGGUCAGUCGUUCAUCACUACUACUACGCCAUCAGCACCAUCGAACCAGCUCCACCACCAAAUUCCUUCAAAAUAUUUAUCAAUUUAUCAAUUUAUGUCAGAUUUUUGUCGGUUUUAUUUUGGUACUUUCUAUAAAGUCUUCUGUGACAUUGUUUUGUAGAUUUUUAUUGGUACAGGCAAACCAGCAUUCAGAGAGAGCACCAGCAAGUUCGAUUUACAAUUAGCAAGGAUGUGUAUGUUCCUUCACUAGAAUGGCCACCUGCAUAUGGUCCAAUGGGCGCAACUCAACAAUUGAAAUUGGAAAUGAAAGACUUUUGGAUUGAUAAACUCAUAGAUAAAGAUGUUUCAUCAGAUUCAACUACAAAGGAUGAUCAUACAUGUACAAGCGGGUUGUUUUGCAAUACGAUUCGAGAUAAUCUGAUUUCCAGUAGGAUUAAUCGACAAAAGUGUCAGUUCAAAUGGGUUCUUCGGAUGUCCAUGAGACGCUAGGGGCCUGGCAAUUUAUCAAAGAAAAAGUUUCAUGCUGAAGGCUGCCACUCAUUAUCUAGGAUUCAACUAUACCAUACGGUCAUAGGUAGAACGAGUACCAUAAAUGUUGUUUUAAAUGUUUUAACUUAUAUGACUAUUUUUGAAUCAUUAACUUUUGAAUGUAAAAGAAAAAAUUAUUUGCUUUA